rnacentral:rRNA from 1 species
AUUGAACGCUGGCGGCAGGCCUAACACAUGCAAGUCGAACGAGUGGCGGACGGGUGAGUAAUGUCUGGGAAACUGCCUGAUGGAGGGGGAUAACUACUGGAAACGGUAGCUAAUACCGCAUACCAUCGGAUGUUCCCAGAUGGGAGUAGCUAGUAGGUGGGGUAACGGCUCACCUAGGCGGCGAUCCCUAGCUGGUCUGAGAGGAUGACGAGAGACAUUGGAGCUGGGAAACAGUCCAGAAUCCUACGGACGGCAUGAGUGGGGAGGAUUGCACAAUGGGCGCAAGCAUGAUGCAGCCAUGCGGCGUGUAUGAGGAAGGCCUUCGGAUUGUAAAGUACUUUCAGCGGGGAGGCGUUACCCACAGAAGAAGCACCGGCUAACUCCGUGCCAGCGGCCGCGGUAAUGC